CUUUCGUCUGUUUGUUUGUUUAUUGUCAGAUAGCUUGGGUGAGAGACGUUACCAGAUGUGGUGUGGAGGAUUUUGCAAGGAAUUCGAAUAGUCGGCGUCUUUUGAAACUUGGGCUCGCAGACGGCUACAGUGAGUGUGAUUGUUUCUGGGAUUCCGAUUCCGCCCCACAGAAGAAGAGUUGGUCCACUAUUACUUGCAGAUGAAGCUCGAGGGAUACUCCAAGCAUAUAUAUGUCGAGCUGUGAAUAGAAGUCAAGAGCUACGAAUAGAAAUUAACUGCAUGCAUAUAUAUUAUUAUCUGCUCGCACAAAAAAUUAUUUCUAAUUAUCAUGCUAUGUCUUUGAUUCUGGCAGUUAUGGAUACUCCAAGGAAAGAUUUGUCUGGUCUUUGAUAUCUGUUGUUGGUAUCUUUUGGCAGUUAUUAUUUUUUUCUUUCUAAUAACUUACUGUUAAUUUCUUAGAUUAUCUAUUGUGUUUGUAAAUUCUAUUGCGGUUUUAUAGAAUUUGUCUGCCUCUUCCUCAGCCCCUCCAAAUAUUCAGUAUGCAGCUCUUGUGAUUAGUUGCUCAUUUAUUAUUGAAGGUGCUUCUCUUCUUGUUGCCAUACAAGCCGUCAAGAAAGGUGUGGCUGCUGAGGGCAUGAAAUUGAGAGACUAUAUAUGGCGCAGACAUGAUCCCAUGUCUGUUGCAGUCAUGAUAGAGGAUAGCGCAGCUGUAACUGGUCUUGGUACUCCACGAGAACUUGGAUCAAGAGACCUUUCCAACUUUCUGUCAUCUUUGAGUCACACCUCAGUACAACAUAAACCUGAUGUUUAUGCCCAAACAAAUAUCUAUGACGAGCAUCAGCGGUCACAAUGGGCAUGGUGUGUGUGUGUUGUGUUGUGUUGAAUAACCGAAAAAGGAUGACUCUGAAGUGACUUUGAAUGUAAACUUUCAUAUUUUCAAUUUUUUUUUUAAAUUUUUGGAGGAAGACAAAAAAAAAAAAAAAAAAAAAAAAAACCAAAAAAAAACCGAAACCGAACCGAAAAAUCCAAACAAAAAAAAAACUGAAAAAAUUUGAACCGAACCGAACCGAACCAAACCGUUGAGAACCGAACCCAGCCCUAAUUGCCAUACACAGACAUUUACACAGAAAAAGGAAAACUACAAAGAAAUGUUAACUCCCUUAAAAGAAACCUUGGCAAACUUGUUACAAUUUUGGCCCUUCCAAUUGCUACUUCUAGCCACUUUCCUCGUCCUCUUAUACAGAUGGUCAUCCACCUCCGCAAACGCACCACCACCUUCUCCACCAAAGCUCCCUAUCAUUGGAAACCUUCACCAAGUAAGCUUGCAAAUUCAUCGCUCACUUCAAACCUUAUCUCAGCGACACGGGCCUCUCAUGCUGAUCCAUUUUGGAAGUACGCCAGUCCCUGUGGUCUCGUCCGCUGAGGCUGCCUGCGAGAUCAUGAAAACCCAUAACACCACAUUUGCCAACAAACCCCAGAUCAUAUUCUUCAAGAAGUUUUGCUACAAUUUCAAAGAUGUGUCAUUUGCACCUUAUGGUGAGUCACUACUAGAAUUAUAGCUAUACAACACCAACGACCGUCAACUUGCACCUCCAAAAUCCUCUUCCCGUCCUCUAUCCAACUCCCAAGUUAGUUUCAUCAAAUUCGAAGCCGAAUUUCCUCAAUUUCAUAUCUAAGAAACGGUAACCAUGGAUUUUCCGGCCAAUUUACAGCCAAGCUUGCCGGAAUUGGACCUCGACCCAAGAGGUAAAGAUGAUCCUCUCCUCGUGGGCUGUCUUCCAGUAUUGGGGACGAGGAAGGUGAAUCAAGGUUGUUUGAGACCUGGGCCGAGAAGAAUGGAAGUUUUUGUAGGUCUUAGUUGCUGGAAGAGACGAGGAAGAGCGUGCCGAAGAGUGGAAAGGUGAUGCAUUUGAUUCAGGUGUUUGAGAAGCUGGUUUCGAUUCAGAGCUCGAAGGAUCCGGAUGAGCAGAAUGGGGAGGAGGAAGCAGCGGAAGAGAUUGGGAAGAAGGCGGCCAAGUGGGCAUUGCCCGGAUUGUAGCCUCCUAAGGCACCGGAAACACAGGUCUCGUCUUCUUCGUUUUUCCCGCCAAACUUGUUGUUGACGACGGAGAAUCUCGGUCUGGAUCGGCAAACUUCAGUCUCUUCUUCUUGGGAUGGAAGUCUGGAAAGUGUCUCAAGCAGGACUUCGAAUGGGGGGGCGAAGGAGCCGAGGAAAUAGCUCUGAAUCUUGUAGCACAAUCGGAGGAGGGAGAUGGAAGAAGAAAAAGCAACUGAGAGCCACUAGCACUAAGCCAUUCAAGCUAAGAAUAUAGGAAAGGGGAAGACAAAAGGAGGAAGAAUUCACGAAGAAGCUACAAGAGAUGAUGAUGGAGGAGGAGAGACAGCGGAUACCAAUUGCUUAGGGCCUCCCAUGGACAACUGACGAAGCAGAGUGCUUACUGAAACCUCUAGUAAAAGAAAUAACAAUACCAACAGACCUGAAGCUCCACAGUGACAUGCGGGCAAUAGAGCGAGUAGAGUUUGACCAUCAGGUGGUAGAGAAGAUGAGCCUGUUUGAGCAAUACAAGAUGGAAAGAGAAAGACUGCUGAAGGUAAAGAGUUAUUGCACUUGAUGAGCAAUUCAGUCUAUUCGUCACCACUCAUAUAGGUUUCCCUGUGGUCCAUUUUUCUGUGAAGCAAUUCAGUAAUUAUAUUUGAUGCUUACAGAUCACAGAGAAGUUGAUAGCAGAUAUGUUCUUAGUUGAAGCAAUUCAGUAAUCAUAUCUCAGUGUUGUCCUCAACUCUAAUCACUUUAACAGUUGGACUUGAGUUAACAUUAUUCUUACGAAAUUUGUGGGUUUGAUUUUGGGUGCGGGUUGCAGCUGAUGAUCAGAUUCAAGUUAUUGAAAUGAUUAAGCUCUUGGAAACAAAGGGUUGGAAGACUUUUUAAAGUUUGGUUCCAACAUUUGUACAAAAUUGCAUAAAAUAUCAGUUGUGCAAAUUUAUAGUUGUUUUCUUAUAUUUUAAUGAUAUUACAAUUUGUUUUCUCACCAAAAA